AGGAAGUGCGAGCGCUGAUAACACACACAACAGCUACAACCCCAUCCCACCCCACUCGCCGUCUGGAGACACGACUGCUUCCCACAGGUUCUGCCAUUUUUUGCUUAUUCAUUUCUGUGCCAGGCGGCAUUGUGCGAUUCAAAAUGAAGACGUCAGAUAUUAAAGACACCUCUCAGUCACCCGGGGUCUCGGAGGUAUUGCUCCCUUUCAUUCCGUGCUCAUCCAGCAUUCGGCAGACGGUGUCCUCUGCGCUGGCAUGAGAAGAUUCUCAAAUAGGCUGCUAACACACACACACAAUCAAUCCGUCUAGUAUUUUUACAGAAGGGAAAAAAUAGCAGCAUACGAGUUUGGAACGACAUGAGGAAAUAAAAAAUACAGUAUUAUAUAUGAGUAUAUUCUGGAUCCAAAGUGAGGCAAGGGCUCAUCCAAAGUCGAGAGGCCCUCACGUGUUCAAUGGAGCCAUGGAGGAUGGAGGUGAGGUGAAGAUAAGUGGCCCGUUCGAGAGCAUCUACUUUCAUGCACUUGAGUUUGUGCUCUCAAUCGGUAAAGACUUCGAUCAAUAGCACUGCGGAAGCAGAGAGGGGGAGAACACAGCCGGAAUCAGCAGAAUGAGGGAAAACUCGCCCGGAUAAAAGCAAAAAAAAAAAAAAAAAAACUGUAAUGUGAGUGAUGACCGCGGUCAGCGAUCUGAGAUGAGGAACCUCAGGGAAACCCUUGCUCUCACAGAAGACACAAAUAAAUUCACACACACAGGCGUAGAUUUCAAACAUUUGUGCAUAAAGGUCAUGUGUGUAAUGUUUCUGUUUUAUGUUAAAAUGCUUCUAUCCCACCUUAAUAUGCAGGGACAACAAUGUCAGUAAUUUCCCCUGAAAAGUGUAAAAAUUAUUCAAACAUUAUUUUAACUUUACCAUUGUUAAACCGUUUCUUUAUCAGAAAACAUCCUCACAACAAGAUUUUUUUAUUGUGGUUGAUAAUGACUUGUUUUCAGAGAAUAUAUCCUGAACAGAUAGGAUUUUAAUCAUAAACUUCACUUAGAUUUAUGCCUAAAAAUAUAUUAUGUGGAAACAAGUACUAAUAUGUGACACAAUUGAGCUUUUUCAAUAAAUGCAUCUCGUUUUGAAGACAUUUAUAUAUUUUUACCGAGCAAAAAAAUGAUGCCAAUACUGAUUAGAAAAUGAUUUUUUUUUACUGUGUAAUUGGCUCAACUAGUGGAGUGAGUUUGGGGUGGUACUAUAUGUUUGUCUAAACCAAUGAAACCUGUUUGAAAAAGCAGAAAUAACAUUUUAUUUAUUUAUUUAUUUAUUUUAUUAAAAACUUUUCUCCCGAUUUGGAAUGUCCGAUUCCCACUACUUACUAGGUCUUCAUGGUGGCGCGGUUACUCACCUCAAUCCGGGUGGUGGAGGACAAGUCUCAGUUGCCUCCGAUUCUGAGACCGUCAAUCCGCGCAUCUUAUCACGUGACACGUUGUGCAUGACACCGCGGAGACUUACAGCAUGCGGAGGCUCAUGCUACUCUCCGCGAUCCACGCACAUCUUACCACACGCCCCAUUGAGAGCGAGAACCACUAAUCGCGACCACGAGGAGGAUACCCCAUGUGACUCUACCCUCCCUAGCAACCGGGCCAAUUUGGUUGCUUAGGAGACCUGGCUGGAGUCACUCAGCACUCCCUGGAUUGGAACUCGUGACUCCAGGGGUGGUAGUCAGCGUCAGUACUCGCUGAGCUACCCAGGCCCCCCAGAAAUAACAUUUUAAAAACAAAUUAUAAAUAGCUAUUAGGUUAUUUAAUAGAAAAACAUUUAGGUGUCAUUAUAAAAAGCAGAGAUGAACACAUAAAGGACCUACAACCUUGUGCUAUUUUCAUUCCAACCUUUCAGUGUGGAGUAGCAAAAAUUCCAAGCCUUUUUCAAAGGAAUUACACAAUUUAAAAAGCUGUUAUUAGCUAAACUCCCACUAGCUCUGAACUCGAAUGGGUUUAAAUGGGUGUGUCGACCAAACACAACUGGUCAGGUCUAGUCAGUUGCAAUAUCGUGCUGAAGAUGAUCAGGUUUUUAAACCGAUGUUAACCUCUUCUGUCUGCUGAUUUCCCUCAAAUGGACCGUAUAGAGUUUCACAAGAUUAAAAGCACUUUUCCGCUCAUACAACUUUGAGAAAGCGAGACCUAUUUACAGCAUUUAAUCCCGUUUCAAAGGGGAGAUGUGAGGCAGCGGCAGGCCAGCGGAUUGAUCAUCGCCAAAUGGUUCCAGUAAAAUGCCUGAUUGCUUGGGAAGUCAAGAUGGUGGAUCCCAGGAAUUCCGUCAACUUUCUCACUGGCCUUUUGAUCUGGAGGGAAUUCUGUUGCAGGCAGCCUCUCAUAUGUCCUGCUUUUGAAACAAUACUCCUGUGUCUGAUCGCAUUGAUCUUCUUACGGUGACCUUUAACCCCUCAAGAUGCUGCGGAGAGGGAACGAAAGAAUGUGGGAUGGAGGGGGUGGGGGGAUGCUGUCUGCUCUCUCUCUCUCUCUCUCGCUCUUUCUCUCUCUCUCGCCCCUUUUUCAUGCAAUGAUUUCAUCGCAGCAAAUGGAAAUGGCUCACAUGUGUUUGCAAUUAUACCUCACAUUGUAAUCAUGAGACAGGGCCAUAAAGUGCACACACACACACACACACAAAUGUUUCACAUACACACACUCGCUCUCUCUUGAGGGUCCGUGCACAUUCUACAAAACUUUUCAUCAAACCAUAUGGUUUUGUCUUCUUGUUGUAUAUAGGGAGAAGGUUUGAAUUUAAAAGAAAACAACAAAAGAGAGCCGUGUGUUUUAAAUGAAAAUGUAAAGGAGUCCUAUCAUGCAUUUUUUUAAAAUGAAUUCUAUAUUGUUUUAAUAAUUAUUUUUUCCUCUUAAAGCUGAAGUGCACAAUUUCUGUGCCACAAGUGUCACCAAACAGACUUUAAAAAAUACACUCCUCUUGACAUUGGUCGGAAACACACAGAUACUCCCGCCCUAAACUCACGACAUUGGUUGAUGGAAAAUUUCUGUAUCGUCUGGUCGUGAUGCUAAAACAAACUUCACCUUCAAAAUGGCUUACUUUUAAAGAAAAAAGUUUAUUUUACACUGUUAAGAGCCCUCAAAGAAAUUGGCACUGGUGGAACAUCUACUAUAAAUAUAAUCUUUGUUAUUUUAUAGGUGUUGCUUGCAAAAAAACUAUUACAUAAUAAUUUACAUUUUACAUUUUAUACAUUUAUGUUGUAAUUUAGCAGAAUUGUUCAGAAAUAAACUUCAGCAUCUCAUUUCUAGCAUUGGGAUUCUUCUGACAAAUAUGCAGAGUGGCAGGUGCUACACAUCCAGAAACAAGAUUUGGUGAACU